rnacentral:rRNA from 1 species
UACGUAGGUGACAAGCGUUGUCCGGAUUUACUGGGCGUAAAGAGCGCGCAGGCGGUCGAUCAAGUCGAGUGUGAAAGCCCCCGGCUCAACUGGGGAGGGUCACGCGAUACUGUUCGACUCGAAGGCAGGAGAGGGAAGCGGAAUUCCCGGUGUAGUGGUGAAAUGCGUAGAUAUCGGGAGGAACACCAGUGGCGAAGGCGGCUUCCUGGCCUGUUCUUGACGCUGAGGCGCGAAAGCUAGGGUAGCAAACGGG